UGGGCGCCACCCAGCCUGGUCCCCGCCGGGCCGCCUUUGUUCCCGCUGACAGCUGGGCUGCUAGACCUCCCGCCGUUGACCUGGGAGGGGAACCAAGCUUACACACUACGGUUGGAUAAAGGGUCAGUUAAGUGGGGUGCCAGGUGGUGCACGAGGCUGUGGUCCUGAGGGUGCUCAGAAGCGAAUCUGAUAAAACCAGGCGUAGCUCCGCCCAGAGAGUGUCGGCCUCAGCCUAAAGAGGCUGUCUCUCUAGAGUCGACUCUUCUCGGCUCUACCCAAGGCUAGAGACCCCCAAAGUGAAUUGGAGCCUCGCAGAACCGCUUUCCACACUGCUUCCUCACCUUCGCCAAGCCACUUCCACCUCCUGUGCCCUGGCCUUCAUUCAAGCUGGAAUGGGCUGAGGAACAUCAUACAGACAAAGAAGUUGGCAUGACCUUUGUCAGUUUUGAGGGAGACCUUUGGCAAGCGGUCUCUGUCAAGCUCACAUUUGCUUGUAGCCCUAAACUCGUUUAAACGAAUAGAGCAGGAAUCUGCUCCAGGAAUCUGAGACAAAAGGAAGGUCUGAUGCUGUCUCCCUAAGAGCUGGUGAGGUCCAAGACUGGUCCUCUGGGACGAGGGGCUGCCCUCAGCUGGGGCUCCUGGGGCCAGCUGGCCUCCUGAUUGAGUCCUCCAGGUCACCGGGAACGACAGCGAAGAAGGACUGUUGCAGCAGCCUCGUGAGCGUUCUCCCCAUGGGCUCUUGGUAGACGCUGACCAUUUGGCUGCAGGUCCAGUUGAGGCACCGAGCACAGGAGCAGCAGUUGGCUGAGCUUCCUGAAACUCUUGACCUGAAGUCCAUUCAGCACAGUAUAGUGGAAAAGAACGGCGUUCUGCGUGUGUACACCGGAGCUGCAGACCUGGGUUUGACUUCUACUCUGCACCUAGUAGCUGUGUGACCUUGGCCAAGUCUCUUGCCCCCAUAUCCUCAAUUUCUGGCACUUUUGAGUGAUAUUAACAAUGUAAUUCCACAAGGAGGACACAGGAAAAAAGUACAGUAGAUUAAGAGUAUCUGUUGCAGUUCUCAGGGGCACUGUGAUUGCUGUACAACAGAGCACUUCACACUAAGGUGUAUACGACAGCUUCCUGUUGCUUCCUCCCAGCCCCCUCCCACCCUCUUCCCUAAGCCCCGCGAAUUUUAUCAAAGAAGAUAACCAGUCUAAUGAGUGAGGCCACAGGGAGCUCUCUGGCACUAGCCAUGGGCUGAGGAGCUAGUUGGGGGGACAAUAGGACUUCAUUUUGUCCUUGAAAGCCCAAGGUUAGGUUCAGAGCAGAGCGGGAAUGCUGAGUGCAAAAGAGUUAGCUCCAACUUAGGGGAGGCAGCC
rnacentral:lncRNA from 1 species